UACGGGGGGAGCAAGCGUUGUUCGGAUUUACUGGGCGUAAAGGGCGCGUAGGCGGCCACCGCAAGUCGACUGUGAAAUCUCCGGGCUUAACCCGGAAAGGUCAGCCGAUACUGCGGGGCUAGAGUGCAGAAGGGGCAACUGGAAUUCUCGGUGUAGCGGUGAAAUGCGUAGAUAUCGAGAGGAACACCUGCGGCGAAGGCGGGUUGCUGGGCUGACACUGACGCUGAGGCGCGAAAGCGUGGGGAGCAAACAGG
rnacentral:rRNA from 1 species